rnacentral:rRNA from 1 species
CCUGCGGAAGGAUCAUUACCGAGUGAGGGCCCUCUGGGUCCAACCUCCCACCCGUGUUUAUUUUACCUUGUUGCUUCGGCGGGCCCGCCUUAACUGGCCGCCGGGGGGCUUACGCCCCCGGGCCCGCGCCCGCCGAAGACACCCUCGAACUCUGUCUGAAGAUUGUAGUCUGAGUGAAAAUAUAAAUUAUUUAAAACUUUCAACAACGGAUCUCUUGGUUCCGGCAUCGAUGAAGAACGCAGCGAAAUGCGAUACGUAAUGUGAAUUGCAAAUUCAGUGAAUCAUCGAGUCUUUGAACGCACAUUGCGCCCCCUGGUAUUCCGGGGGGCAUGCCUGUCCGAGCGUCAUUGCUGCCCUCAAGCACGGCUUGUGUGUUGGGCCCCGUCCUCCGAUCCCGGGGGACGGGCCCGAAAGGCAGCGGCGGCACCGCGUCCGGUCCUCGAGCGUAUGGGGCUUUGUCACCCGCUCUGUAGGCCCGGCCGGCGCUUGCCGAUCAACCCAAAUUUUUAUCCAGGUUGACCUCGGAUCAGGUAGGGAUACCCGCUGAACUUAAGCAUAUCAAUAAGCGGAGGA